UUCUUUAAUAUUCAAUAAUAUUUUAAAAUUACGCUUUCAGAUAUCAUUAUUUUAGUUUUUAAAGAUAUUUUGUUACUUAAGGCGAAUUGUCACAGCAAGUAUUUUAAGCAAAAAGUACUUUAGUUGUAUUGGAAGUAAUUUUUUUUUCUUAAUUAACUGAAAUAAUAUUAUAAUAGGAAAUAUUUUUGUCAUAUAGAAUUUUGCACAAACACAAAAUAGAAGCUGCCAAAUUGUGUUUAUUAAUCAAAUUUUUUAGCACUUUUGAAGCAAGUCAAAGGUAUCUUUAGUGACUACCGAUUUGGAAAGCGGAUUAUAGUGAAUGCUAGUUAACUAACGCGAUUUAGUUUUUGUGGAAUUCUGUUUUUUCAUGAUACGUAUUUUUGCAAAUGAGAUGAGAAAAAGUUCGAAAAAAACAUCAUUAUCAAACAAAAGAUCAUGUAGUCGAAGCUAAUAAUAUAAUUGCUGUGGUUUUUCAAUUUAAGUUAAUAUAAAUAUUUAUUUAUUUAUUUAUUAGGUUGUAAGUAUAUAGUGGCUGUUAUUAAAUUUUGAGCAAAGCUUUUUUAUAGUUUUUGAUUACACAUUUAUUUCUCUGAAAGAGUUUAUUGAUAGUUGGCAAUAUAAUACUGAAAUAAUUAAGUAUAUGUGUUUGUUUUUAGCAAUAUGUGGUAGCUCAUUCAGGCAUCUCUUAGGGUAAUAUUUUUUUAGGCAGCUUCAUAACAUCAGCUGAUUGAUUGAGCUAAUAGAAAAUAACAUAUUAUAUUUUAUAAAUAAAACUAUCUCGAAUUAUAAAAAUCUUUGAAGUAUUACGAUUAACAAAAUAUAAAAAUGUUUUUUUUUUUUUUAAAGUAUAAGCAAUGAAUAUUAUACGUACAAAUAUAUUGAUGUUUUUGAAUAUCCUUAAAUAUUGUAAUAAAGUUUGAUGGCCAUAUAUAGGGAAUUUCGGUUACCAUAACAGAUUUUUAAGCGAAAAACAUAGCCAAUUGUGUUUAAAAUCUCUAUUAGGCCAACAGUCUAAUAUUUUAUUGAAAUACUAAAGAUCCUAGGUACAAUCCCAGUUGAAAUAUUAGCAUACGUACGUAAAGAAAAAGAAAAGAGGAAUAUUUUAAAAGUAGCAGAAAUUCCUUUUAUAUGAUGCAGAAGGUUUUACAUACUUAUAUCGUAUACUCUCAGUGUAUUAAUACUCGAUUUUUCGCUGAUAUUGUGAAAAUUCCUGAAAUCGUCUUGAAUGGUAGGUUAAAAUUGUAUCGGUGUUCAAAAAUAUAUGUACGUGUUAAAUGUUUUCCCCGAAACGUCGAGCCCUUAUCUACCUAUCUGUGUAAUAGGUCUAAAGAUUUUUAAAGUGUUUUAAUAUCUCUUUGUAUUCAGUAUUGAGAUAUUCGAGAUGGGGCUUUUACUAAAGGUUUAUAUGAGCGCAUUUCUUAUAGAACGGAAUAUAAUAUAGAUAUACCUAUCGAUUAUUGUGAUAUAGUCACCUGCCUGAUGUUAAUACUUCGCGAAGACUCAACCAAAUACAUAUCAUUAUGUGACUUAAUGUAUUAAAUUAAUAUAAAAUAUAUAACAUAUGUUAGUGAUUAGAUUGAACGGAUACAUAUCAAAUAUUUUUAAGGUAGCUUUAGAAUAUCGUUGUUGUUCUAUCACUGUCGCGUACUAAUGUUGUUGUGAACGGGAUUUUCGUACUACGACUAGUUAUACUAUAUUUCAUGUAUAACCUAAUUAUGUUAAUUUUAUUUUCAAACGUGUUUAUUAUAACAUUAUUGUCAUACAAAUGUGUGUGUCAUCGGUAUAAUAGAUUAUACAUACCUUCUUGAAUACAUACAAAAGACAUGUCUUUUAUAAUCGAAAGUAUUUUAACGAAAUGUGUAUCAAUAUUUUUGUUAUAGGUAACUUACAUAAAUUAUGUAACAUAAUUAUGUGAUCUACAUGAGAUUAAACAGUCCAUAUUCCUAGUCGUUUUGACUAUAAUGGGUAAAAUUUUAAAUGAUAAUUUUGUUGCAAUUAUGUAUAUUUUUAAUAUGUAUUAUGUACAAAAAUGUAGAAAUUUUCAUUCAUUAUUCAUUUGAAGUUUACAGUAAUUUGUCUUUAAUUUUUGUAACUAUUGCAAUGAUUCUUAAGCGUACUAAUAGUUAAUCUUUUAGUAUCAUUUUAUUAAGUUAAUUAUCAUUUAAAAAAGUAAUCGUUCCGAAACUGCAAUAUCCCAAUAGGGCUUUAAGUAACCAGAAUUAUGUACAAUAAAUGAAAAAUAAUGUAAUUUAAAAUUGGGAUUUCUUUUAUUCCUUUAUACAUUCUUGUUAAAUUACAUUACAGUUUAUACUAUAAACGAACGAAUAAAUAUUUUAUAUUUUUCUUUUUAGUGAAUUAAAAAAUACUAUAAUGUAAUAUUGUAAUUAUUCCUCUGAAAGGUUGAAGUGACUAAUACAUACUACUUACUGAAAAACACGAGGUUCGGAUAUAUAUUUUUUUCGUAUUUUCUACUUAUCUGUACUUAGCCAAAAUUGAAAUACCUAUACUUAUUACAGUCCAUUUUUAAUUGAAUGUAUCGUUUUUCGAAUCCUAAUUUAAUUUACUUAAUCUCAUCGAUGUAAUAUGUAUUUUUUACUGCCAUACAGUAUCAUUUGACUUUCUUAUUUGUACUAUGGUCGAAUACGAAUAUAGUCACCCAUCUUGAAAAAACUAAUUUAUAUAUUUGGCACCUUAAUACAUUGCCAUACUGUGUUUAAAUCACUAAGAAGCAAGCCGCGACGUUUGCACGUUAAGACAGAGAAAUUAAUAGACAAAGAGCUGAUAGCAUUCGUCGCAUUUCGUCAAAAAAGAAAAUAAGAUAAACGUGGAUUUUUUGAAAAAACUUGCAAAUGCCACUCAAUAUUGACUCGGUAUGAUGACGCGUUCACUUAAUAUUGCUAGCCACUCACCAUCAGAUAAGCUCACAUGCUUGCAGCGCUAACGGCUUGACAGCCGAUAAAACUGAUCAUGUGUCAUGCACAUUGCGGCCAACACACGAUCAGUUUUAUCGGCUGUCAAGCCGUUAGCGCUGCAGACGUGUGACCUAAGGUUAAGGUUUAUCGUCAGUGGCUGACACAAAGAUUGACAUUCAAUAAGUUUAGUAAUAGAUUUCAAUGGUUUAAUUAAAAAAAAGAGCACUAAAUUACAGCUUCAUCUUGUUUUGGCUUAAAAUAUGGGAAACAAAAUAGGUAGUUCAGUGUAGUGCGUUAUGAUCUGAAAAUCACGUUAAAAUCGAUUAUCUUUUGACUAGCACACCAGUCGUCCAUUUCCUUCUCUGUCUACGGGAAAGUGAGUAAAAAUGUAAUUUUACUCUCAGUAAUGGAAAGUAAUAAUAAUUCGUGAAUGUAUUGAGAUGUCAGGUAAAAUUAAAUUGAAUAUAAUUUAAAUACAGUUUUUUUUCGUUUUCCCGUCUGCCACCACGUUAGGACGGGACGGAACCACUGUUAGCUAGUAGUUAUACCUACUAUUGACUUAUUCCUAGUUCUUGUUGAAUAUUUGAAAUGUGUAAAUUGUGUAAUGUUGUGACUACAGCCGACCCCUGCGACGUAAAUAAAACAAUAUAGUAUGUUGAUGGGGUU
rnacentral:lncRNA from 1 species